rnacentral:rRNA from 1 species
UAUCUCUGUAGAGUCUGCAUAUCAAUAAGCGGAGGAAAAGAAACUAACAAGGAUUCCCUUAGUAACGGCGAGUGAAGCGGGAAGAGCUCAAAUUUGAAAUCUUCAAGGUUCUACCUUGACGAAUUGUAGUUUAUAAGAAGUGUUUUCUGUUAGAUGAGUAGCAAAAGUUCCUUGGAAUGGGACAUCAUAGAGGGUGAGAAUCCCGUAUUUGGUUAUUCAUUCUAGCUUUGUGAUACACUUUCAAAGAGUCGGAUUGUUUGGGAAUGCAGUCCAAAAUGGGUGGUAAAUUUCAUCUAAAGCUAAAUAUUGGCGAGAGACCGAUAGCGAACAAGUACCGUGAGGGAAAGAUGAAAAGAACUUUGAAAAGAGAGUUAAACAGUACGUGAAAUUGUCAAAAGGGAAGCGUUUGACACCAGUGUUGUUUAGUUGAAAAUCAAUUCAAUAGUUUUUGAUUCUAAGUAGUAUUGACUUCAUCAGCUUGCUGCUUUCUUCUCAGAAAUUAUUGAAUGCACUUUUCAGUUAACAAGUCAACAUCAAUUUCUUUUGUUGUAAAAGGGUAAGAGGAAGGUGGCUUGCGCUUCGGCUCAAGUGUUUAUAGCCUUUUAUCUCUGCAAUCGGAGAGAUUGAGGUCUGCAGCGUAGAUCCUUCGGGGUUAGAUACAUUGGUGCUAAGCUAUAGCCUUGUAUAGACAACUUGUUGACUAUGCUCAGUCAUGUAGCUUACUCGCUGAUGCUAUUUUACCUACGCUUAGGAUGUUGACUGAUAUGUAGUCGUA